UUAUUACAGGCCUAUGAAAAGUGGGCAUCAGAGAGCAAAAGCCAGAAGCAAAGCCGUUGUCAGUAUCUAACUUCACACCAUAUCAGUUAUUCUGGAUAAGCGCAGCGCAGGUUUGGUGUGAGAAGUUAGAUCCAUAUUAUUUGAUUCGUACUAUUCGAACAGGAUCACGCAUCCCACAUAAAUUUAGAGUGGAAGGUCCUAUGUCUAAUCUGCCAGAAUUUGCCGAAGAUUUUGAAUGCUCAAGCGGUAAAGACAUGAAUCCAAUAAGGACAUGUAAAAUUUGGUAAAAACUAACAACAAAAAUGUAAAUUUAAGAUAAGGUUUUGUUGGUAUAUUAGUAUUCUUGCAUUUAGUAACAUUGCAUUAAGAUUGCGUGCAGUAGCAUAAACUGGUGAUGACUUAUUGCAAAUAUUAUAUAAAAUAUUUCUAAACAGAGCUACAGCCAUGAGCAAAUUCAUUUGUUAAAAUAAAAUAUAUUUUUGCAUCCUUCCA